rnacentral:rRNA from 1 species
GACGAACGCUGGCGGCGUGCUUAACACAUGCAAGUCGAGCGGUAAGGCCCUUUCGGGGGUACACGAGCGGCGAACGGGUGAGUAACACGUGGGUGACCUGCCCUCAGCUCUGGGAUAAGCCUGGGAAACCGGGUCUAAUACCGGAUAUGACUCCAUGACGCAUGUUGUGGGGUGGAAAGCCUUGUGCGGCUGAGGAUGGGCCCGCGGCCUAUCAGCUUGUUGGUGGGGUGAGGCCUACCAAGGCGACGACGGGUAGCCGGCCUGAGAGGGCGACCGGCCACACUGGGACUGAGACACGGGCCCAGACUCCUACGGGAGGCAGCAGUGGGGAAUCUUGCGCAAUGGGCGAAAGCCUGACGCAGCGACGCCGCGUGAGGGAUGACGGCCU